UUUCCCCAGAAUGGACUACAUUUUCCUUCUCUUCACAGUCCUGAUCGCUGCUGAACCCAGUGUCCAGCAGCUGCAGACCCUGAAGGACCCCGAAUUUGUGGCUCUAGGUGGAACAGUCACCAUAUCUUGCAGAUAUAAUAGUGGAAAUAUUGCUGAUAGCAAUUACCCUUGGUGGGCCCAGCAGAAACCCGGGGGCAAACCCCGAACCAUGAUGCACAGCAGCAGCACCAGACCCAGUGAUGUCCCAGCCCGAUUCUCUGGCUCCAAGUCAGGGAAUGUGAUGUCCCUGACCAUUACGGGGGUCCAGCUGGAAGAUGAAGCUGUCUAUUACUGUAGUUUGAACCCGGGGGGCUCGUGGCACAGCUGUUCCUUCAGAUGGGGAGAUGAGAAAAAACCUCCUCUCUUGUUCUUUGCUGUUUUGGUUCAUCAGUCAAACUUUGAGUGCCCCAGACACACAUCUCUUAAUAUCAUCAGUUCCUAA